CUUCCGGAUACACCAGGCUGCCCCAGCAGUUCUGGCAAUUCCAAGAACACCGGAGAGAAUUUUAUUGUCAUCGCUGCACCCUGACUGAGCCUUCUUACAGCACUCAGUAAGGUGGUGGUGUUCUUGCUGAUAAAACAACCUUGGAAACCUUGUGGGACUCGCUAUGUGGCAGGGGUCUGUGCCAUUAAACAGAGAUGACUGAAGAAUCGUUUAAAAAGCAAGACAAGAUGUAUCAACAGUGAAGAGCACCUGCUGCUCUUGUAGAGGACCCAGAUUCAGUGCCCAGCACAUGAUCGUUUACAAACAUCUGUAACUCCAGUCCCAGAGAGUCUGCUUACCCUCGGCUGGCUUCUGCCAGCACCAGGGUACAUGCAAGCAAGACACUCACCACAUGUCUACAGCCAUACCACCCUGAACAUGCCCAAUCUCGUCUGAUCUCGGAAGCUAAGCAGGGUCGGGCCUGGUUAGUACUUGGAUGGGAGACACUCACAAAUCUAAAAGAGACUUAAAAGGUUUUUUGGAAAAAUAUAAGACAAGGCGAACUUAUGCAGGGGAAUACAGUCUGAGGAGGGGAAAAGAACAAUUCGCAAACAAGGUUGAACAGAUCAGAACACCAUGUGGGUUCGGCUCUUUCUUGUAACACGUGUGAUCUAUUUGGAUGGACCACAGCCAGAGGUGAGAAGGGGGUGGGGCACACAGGGAGAGGACAGUGGAAUGCCUUUGCAAACCAUCUGGAUGAUUCAAAACAUGUAAAAAAUCCACAUACACUUAUUAUUUUAAAUACUAAUUUAAAGUGGAAAACAUUGAGAUCUAGAAGUGGAAAAGAAAGUGACCAUCCCAAGAAAUGUGUGCAUACAUUUCCUCUGAACCCUUAACUGUCCCCUCCAAAGCCAUUCAAACUUCUAAGGCAGGCAUGCUCAGGAGGAUCCUGAGUUUGAAGCCAACCUGGGCUACACAGUAAGACCUUCUCUCAAAAAAGAAUCCUGAAGCAGACCAAACAAGAAACCACUUCUCCCUGCCUUCCUGCAAUGGGGUGCCCCGAGGUAAAGAGCUAGU